rnacentral:rRNA from 1 species
UGGGCAACCUGCCCCCGACCCUGGGAUAACCCCGGGAAACCGGAGCUAAUACCGGAUACUCUCCUCUGACCACCUGGUCGGACGAGGAAAGGUCCGCCGGUCGGGGAUGGGCCCGCGGCCUAUCAGCUUGUUGGUGGGGUAACGGCCUACCAAGGCAUCGACGGGUAGCUGGUCUGAGAGGACGACCAGCCACACUGGGACUGAGACACGGCCCAGACUCCGUACGGGAGGCA